UACGUAGGGCGCAAGCGUUGUCCGGAAUCACUGGGCGUAAAGGGUGCGUAGGCGGGUCUUCAAGUCAGGGGUGAAAGCCUGGAGCUCAACUCCAGAACUGCCUUUGAGACUGCAUCGCUAGAAUCAUGGAGAGGUUAGUGGAAUUCCGAGUGUAGAGGUGAAAUUCGUAGAUAUUCGGAAGAACACCAGUGGCGAAGGCGACUAACUGGACAUGUAUUGACGCUGAGGUGCGAAAGCGUGGGGAGCAAACAGG
rnacentral:rRNA from 1 species